rnacentral:rRNA from 1 species
UACGUAGGUGGCAAGCGAUACUCGGAAUCACUAGGCGUAAAGCGCAGGUAGGCGGUUUGAUAAGUCUCUUGUGAAAGCUCCCGGCUCAACUGGGAGAGGUCAAGGGAAACUGUCAGGCUAGAGUGUGGCAGAGGAAGCUAGAAUUCCCGGUGUAGCGGUGAAAUGCGUAGAUAUCGGGAGGAAUACCUAUGGCGAAAGCAGGCUUCUGGGCCGUCACUGACGCUGAUCUGCGAAAGCUAGGGGAGCAAACAGG